AAGGGCAACUGGAACUGGAACUUUUGUCUUCAUUGGAAAGAAUUACAGAAGUUAGGACAAAACCUGACACUUCCUGUUCAGGCAUCGUCCCAGAAAGUGACUCUUCUGACUUCAGCCAAACCUGACACCUGGAGGCUACCAGAUUUGUGGCAUGGGUAAAAAUACAGCAGAAA